ACUCCUACGGGAGGCAGCAGUGGGAAUAUUGCACAAUGGGCGAAAGCCUGACGCAGCAACGCCGCGUGAGUGAUGAAGGCCUUCGGGUCGUAAAGCUCUGUCAGGAGGGAAGAAUAAAUGACGGUACCUCCAAAGGAAGCACCGGCUAACUCCGUGCCAGCAGCCGCGGUAAUACGGAGGGUGCAAACGUUGCUCGGAAUCAUUGGGCGUAAAGCGCGCGUAGGCGGCCUAGUAAGUCUGAUGUGAAAGCCCAGGGCUCAACCCUGAAAGCCAUUGGAAACUACUCGGCUUGAGAGCAGGAGGGGCAGGUGGAAUUCCUGGGUGUAGGAGUGAAAUCCGUAGAGAUCAAGGCGGAACACCGGUGGCGAAGGCGACCUGCUGGACUGUAUCUGACGCUGAGGCGCGAAAGCGUGGGGAGCAAACAGGAUUAGAUACCCUGGGAGGCUC
rnacentral:rRNA from 1 species